rnacentral:rRNA from 1 species
AACGAACGCUGGCGGCAGGCUUAACACAUGCAAGUCGAACGCAUCGCAAGAUGAGUGGCAGAAGGGUGAGUAACGCGUGGGAAUCUACCUAGUUCUACGGAACAACAGUUGGAAACGACUGCUAAUACCGUAUACGCCCUACGGGGGAAAGAUUUAUCGGAAUUAGAUGAGCCCGCGUAAGAUUAGCUAGUUGGUGGGGUAAUGGCCUACCAAGGCGACGAUCUUUAGCUGGUCUGAGAGGAUGAUCAGCCACACUGGGACUGAGACACGGCCCAGACUCCUACGGGAGGCAGCAGUGGGGAAUAUUGGACAAUGGGCGCAAGCCUGAUCCAGCCAUGCCGCGUGAGUGAUGAAGGCCUUAGGGUUGUAAAGCUCUUUCACCGAUGAAGAUAAUGACGGUAGUCGGAGAAGAAGCCCCGGCUAACUUCGUGCCAGCCGCCGCAAUAAAAC